rnacentral:rRNA from 1 species
AAUCAACGCUGGCGGCGCGCUUAACACAUGCAAGUCGCACGAGAAAGGGGAGCAAUCCCUGAGUACAGUGGCGUACGGGUGAGUAACACGUGGGUAAUCUACCUCUUAGUGGGGGAUAUCUCUGGGAAACCGGAGUUAUACCGCAUAAGUUCGGAGAAGAAAGCGAGCAAUCGCGCUGAGAGAGGAGCCCGCGGCCGAUUAGCUAGUUGGUGGGGUAAAGGCUCACCAAGGCAGAGAUCGGUAGCCGGCC